GGCGGCCGCGGGAAUUCGAUUAUCGUAUUACCGCGGCUGCUGGCACGUAGUUAGCCGUGGCUUUCUGGUUAAAUACCGUCAAUACCUGAACAGUUACUCUCAGAUAUGUUCUUCUUUAACAACAGAGUUUUACGAGCCGAAACCCUUCUUCACUYACGCGGCGUUGCUCCAUCAGACUUUCGUCCAUUGUGGAAGAUUCCCUACUGCUGCCUCCCGUAGGAGUUUGGGCCGUGUCUCAGUCCCAAUGUGGCCGAUUACCCUCUCAGGUCGGCUACGUAUCAUUGCCAUGGUGAGCCGUUACCCCACCAUCUAGCUAAUACGCCGCGGGACCAUCCAAAAGUGAUAGCCGAAGCCAUCUUUCAAGCUCGGACCAUGCGGUCCAAGUUGUUAUGCGGUAUUAGCACCUGUUUCCAAUCACUAGUGAAUUCGCGGCCGCCUGCAGGUCGACCAUAUGGGAGAGCUCCCAACGCGU
rnacentral:rRNA from 1 species